rnacentral:rRNA from 1 species
CGCCUAACACAUGCAAGUCGAGCGGAAGUAAUUCAGCGGCAGACGGGUGAGUAACGCGUGGGAAUCUGCCCUUUAGUGAAGAAUACCUUCGAGAAAUCGGAGUUAAUACUGCAUACGUCCCUUCGAAAGAAGGGAGAAAGAUGGCCUCUUUGCUGUCGCUAAAGGAUGAGCCUGCGUACUAUUAGCUAGUUGGUAGGGUAAUGGCCUACCAAGGCGAUGAUGGUUAGCCGGCCUGAGAGGGUGAUCGGCCACAUUGGAACUGAGACACGGUCCAGACUCCUACGGGAGGCAGCAGUGAGGAAUAUUGCGCAAUGGGCGAAAGCCUGACGCAGCGACACCGCGUGAAGGAUGAAGGCUUUAGGGUCGUAAACUUC